UUAAAAAGCUCGUAGUUGAACCUUGGGCCUGGCUGGCCGGUCCGCCUCACCGCGUGCACUGGUUCGGCCGGGCCUUUCCCUCUGGGGAACCUCAUGCCCUUCACUGGGUGUGAUGGGGAACCAGGACUUUUACUGUGAAAAAAUUAGAGUGUUCAAAGCAGGCCUAUGCUCGAAUACAUUGGCAUGGAAUAAUAGAAUAGGACGUGUGGUUCUAUUUUGUUGGUUUCUAGGACCGCCGUAAUGAUUAAUAGGGACAGUCGGGGG
rnacentral:rRNA from 1 species